rnacentral:rRNA from 1 species
UGGGCAAUGGAGGCAACUCUGACCCAGCAACGCCGCGUGAAUGAUGAAGGUCUUCGGAUUGUAAAGUUCUGUGAGGGGGACGAAGAAAGUGACGGUACCCCAAUAGCAAGCUACGGCUAACUACGUGCCAGCAGCCGCGGUAAUACGUAGGUAGCAAGCGUUGUCCGGAAUGACUGGGCGUAAAGGGUGCGUAGGUGGUUUAACAAGUUGGUAGUGAAAUUCCGAAGCUUAACUUCGGCGCUACUGCCAAGACUGUUGAACUUGAGUACAGGAGAGGUAAGUGGAAUUCCUAGUGUAGCGGUGGAAUGCGUAGAUAUUAGGAGGAACACCAGUGGCGAAGGCGACUUACUGGCCUGCAACUGACACUGAGGCACGAAAGCGUGGGGAGCAAACAGGAUUAGAUACCCUGGUAGUCCACGCCGUAAACGAUGAUUACUAGGUAUGGGAGGUAUCGACUCCUUCCGUGCCGCAGCAAACGCAAUAAGUAAUCCGCCUGGGGAGUACGGCCGCAAGGUUGAAACUCAAAGAAAUUGACGGGGACCCGCACAAGCAGCGGAGCAUGUGGUUUAAUUCGACGCAACGCGAAAAACCUUACCAGGUCUUGACAUCCUUUGACCGCCUGAGAGAUCAGGAAUCUCUAGCAAUAGAGCAGAGAGACAGGUGGUGCAUGGUUGUCGUCAGCUCGUGUCGUGAGAUGUUCGGUUAAGUCCGACAACGAGCGCAACCCCUGUAUACAGUUGCCAAUAUUAAGUUAGGAACUCUGUAUAAACUGCCGUGGCUAACACGGAGGAAGGUGGGGAUGACGUCAAAUCAUCACGCCCCUUACGACCUGGGCCACACACGUGCUACAAUGGCUAUUACAAAGAGCAGCGAAACUGUAAAGUCGAGCGAAUCUCAAAAAGAU